rnacentral:rRNA from 1 species
AGAGUUUGAUCCUGGCUCAGGAUGAACGCUAGCGGCAGGCUUAAUACAUGCAAGUCGAGGGGCAGCAUGGUGUAGCAAUACACUGAUGGCGACCGGCAAACGGGUGCGGAACACGUACAGAACCUUCCUUCAAGCGGGGAAUAGCCCAGAGAAAUUUGGAUUAAUACCCCAUAGCAUAAUGGAGUGGCAUCACUUUGUUAUUAAAGAUUUAUCACUUGAAGAUGGCUGUGCGGCUGAUUAGGUAGUUGGCGGGGUAACGGCCCACCAAGCCUGCGAUCAGUAACUGGUGUGAGAGCACGACCAGUCACACGGGCACUGAGACACGGGCCCGACUCCUACGGGAGGCAGCAGUAAGGAAUAUUGGUCAAUGGACGAAAGUCUGAACCAGCCAUGCCGCGUGGAGGAUGAAGGUCCUCUGGAUUGUAAACUUCUUUUAUCUGGGACGAGAAAAGGUCUUUCUAGAUCGUCUGACGGUACCAGAUGAAUAAGCACCGGCUAACUCCGUGCCAGCAGCCGCGGUAAUACGGAGGGUGCAAGCGUUAUCCGGAUUCACUGGGUUUAAAGGGUGCGUAGGUGGGUUGGUAAGUCAGUGGUGAAAUCUUCGAGCUUAACUCGGAAACUGCCAUUGAUACUAUCAGUCUUGAAUAUUGUGGAGGUUAGCGGAAUAUGUCAUGUAGCGGUGAAAUGCUUAGAUAUGACAUAGAACACCAAUUGCGAAGGCAGCUGGCUACACAUAUAUUGACACUGAGGCACGAAAGCGUGGGGAUCAAACAGGAUUAGAUACCCUGGUAGUCCACGCC